AUUAUAUACUUCAAAAUGCAAAAGAGAGAACAUAUGGCACAUAUUAUUAAGUUUGUCAAUGUAAUAAUUAUUUUUCUUAUCAUAUUCGUAUUUGUAUCAGAUGGUAUCACUGUAACAGAUCUUAUCAGAUGUGAGUCUAAUAAAGAAUGUCGUCAACAAAUGCCUGAUUGCAAGCGUCCUAAAAGGCCAAGGUGUGUAGCAAAGACAUGUAUAUGUUAUUAAUUGUAAGCAUAAACUUCAUCCUAUUUUCUCAGAACCUUAAAAUAAAUUUGAUCCACUCAAAUAUUUAUUUUCUCUUAACCUUCAAAUAAAUUUGAUCCACUCAAAUUAUUAUGUCUUA